rnacentral:lncRNA from 1 species
AUAUGCCCUGAGCUAACAUCUGUGCCAGUCUUCUUCUAUUUUGUAUGUGGGGCGCCACCACAGCAUGGCCACUGAUGAGUGGUGUAGGUCCGUGUCUGGGAGCUGAACCCGAGCUACCAAAGCAGAGUGUGCUGAACUUAACCACUAGGCCAUGAGGCCGGCCCGCAGACAUCCUGUUUUAAAGGACACACAGGACAACAAGAACAACUGGGCUCUCCUUCACUUCCAGAAGUGGUCCUCAGCCUCGCAGCAGAUGAGAAACAGCCCUGGAGAUUUUAGUACAUACCAGUGAACGGGAUCCAUGCAGAACCCACCAGUUCAGAUUUUCGGCUUCUGAGCCGACUCUAAUGUGCAGCGGUGGUUGGGAACUCCGGCUGACGGAGCCCCGACUCCUCAAGCGGCAUACAAGGCUUCCUCAGUCGGGGCGCACCCUUCCCAUCUCAUCCCUCACUGCACUUUCUCAAUACUACCUGCAUGGCACACUGAUGGUGUUCCCUGAAGACACCUGAUUGGUUCACGCCCCCAUGGCUUUGUACAUCUCUCUGUUGAUCUAGAAUCUAACUACUCAAAGUGUGGUCCACAGACCAGUAGCAUCGCCCUCCCCAGGGAACCCAGAGCUGCAGAAUCGGAAUCUGCAUUUCAGCAACAUCCCCGCCUGAUCUGUAUGAACAUUCAAGUUUGAGAAACGCUCUAGAUGCUUUCCCAGCUUGCAUCUCUGGAGAAUUCACAUUCACGCUUCCGUCCCCAGCUCAGGUGCCUCCUCUUCUGUGAAGUCUUUCCCGGCCCCACCCUCUUCACCCCUGACCCUCUCCUCCCCGGAACUGAUUCCUCCUUCCUUUAUGCCACCACUUUUGUAGAACCCAGGAACUGAAACCAACGUCAUUCCCUGUGCCUCAUUAAAUACGACAAAGACCACACAGAAAUGAGCCAGCUGCUCACUUUAGGAAAUACAUGUUCCUAGAAGAAAAGACUGUGAACCAAGUAAAUAAUUUACUUAGCCAGACUCACAGCUUGAGCAUCAAGAGUGGCCUCGAGGCCCUUACGUCACUGUGCCCACCAAUCCAGAGAAAGCUAGGAAGGCAAACCUCUGCCCAGUGUUGAUCCCACCUUGCAAGACUCACCUUAAAAUCACCCAGCC